rnacentral:lncRNA from 1 species
UGAGUCGAAAAGAGGUGAGUAUAGGUAUCUUGGCUUUUAUUUUAGUUUCUCAGAGGCUAUUGGCAUGGGACAAUCAAUCCUUAGCCAACUUAAUGGUGCCACUUAAUAUUUCAAAGCCUGGGAGGACUCUUGCUAGUGUUAAGGUGAGUCGUCACUGUUUGAGCAGAUUUGGAGUCAUCAUUUUGAGGAUAAGAGAUUUGCAUCAUCCGUGAUCAG